rnacentral:misc_RNA from 1 species
UUAAGUUCAGCGGGUAUUCCUACCUGAUCCGAGGUCAACCUUAAAAAAUGGGGGGUUUUACGGCAAGAACCCACUACAUGUCCUGAGCGAAGAGUAAACUACUGCACUCGGUAUAUAGCGAGCCCGCCACUGUUUUUAGGGGGCUGCGGACGGCCGCAGGGCCCCAACACAAGCCUAGGGCUUGAUGGUUGAAAUGACGC